GAUGAACGCUAGCGGCAGGCUUAACACAUGCAAGUCGAGGGGCAGCAUGACACGGAGAUUCGUCGAAGUGUUGAUGGCGACCGGCGCAAGGGUGCGUAACGCGUGAGCAACUUGCCCGUUUCAGGGGGAUAACCGGUGGAAACGCCGACUAAUACCCCAUAGUAUGUUUUUGAGGCAUCUCUUAAACAUUAAAGAAUUUCGGAAACGGAUAGGCUCGCGUGACAUUAGCUAGAUGGCGGGGUAACGGCCCACCAUGGCGACGAUGUCUAGGGGUUCUGAGAGGAAGGUCCCCCACACUGGAACUGAGACACGGUCCAGACUCCUACGGGAGGCAGCAGUGAGGAAUAUUGGUCAAUGGUCUGACGACUGAACCAGCCAUGCCGCGUGAAGGUGACGGCCCUAUGGGUCUUAAACUUCUUUUGUAAGGGAGCAAUAAGGUCUACGUGUAGACUGAUGAGAGUACCUUACGAAUAAGCAUCGGCUAACUCCGUGCCAGCCGCCGCUGUAAAAC
rnacentral:rRNA from 1 species